UGGGGAAUAUUGCACAAUGGGCGCAAGCCUGAUGCAGCCAUGCCGCGUGUAUGAAGAAGGCCUUCGGGUUGUAAAGUACUUUCAGCAGUGAGGAAGGGUGUGUAGUUAAUAGCUGCAUACUUUGACGUUAGCUGCAGAAGAAGCACCGGCUAACUCCGUGCCAGCAGCCGCGGUAAUACGGAGGGUGCGAGCGUUAAUCGGAAUUACUGGGCGUAAAGCGCAUGCAGGUGGUUUGUUAAGUCAGAUGUGAAAGCCCGGGGCUCAACCUCGGAACCGCAUUUGAAACUGGCAGGCUAGAGUACUGUAGAGGGGGGUAGAAUUUCAGGUGUAGCGGUGAAAUGCGUAGAGAUCUGAAGGAAUACCAGUGGCGAAGGCGGCCCCCUGGACAGAUACUGACACUCAGAUGCGAAAGCGUGGGGAGCAAACAGG
rnacentral:rRNA from 1 species